rnacentral:lncRNA from 10 species
GUCUGGGUGGUGCUUCGCGGCCCCAGGAGGCUUUCCGGCUGGCCUCGUUGACUAGGCGUACAGCAGCGUCUCCGCAUGCCUCUUGCCCUUAAAAGUGUUGAUGGAUUGCAGAAGUGGAUGGUGACCCCAAGGAGGGGUUUCAGAAAGGCUCCAGCCUCCUUCGCCCAACCACCUUCUCUAGGUUCCCCUAACAAACCCAUCACUUAAGUUAAAAACGUGUAUUUGCUCUUGUUGACUUAGCUUUAAGACAAGAUUCUUGCCCACCGCAGACCACAUGGCCAGCUUUCCCAAAGGCCCUCUGAUAAUGAAAUGGUGGAGCAGAUAUAUCAAACUUUCCAUCUUGCCCUGAGCCAACGACCCUGCACCCUCACAGGCCAGGGCACUCUGGAGGGCACCCUGCCUGGAGCCCCAAACCUUGGGUAAGCUGUGGGAGCCUAGGCAGGGGCAGGCAGUGCCUGGAGGCUGGCUUCAGACGGCAGAACUUCUCACCUGGGAAAAUGCUUUCUGGAAGAAGCACCCAGGCCUCAAGGCAGCUCCAGUGAGGGGGCAAAAAGGGAUAUACAUAAGGCAUAAGGCGCUGGCCAUGGUUAGGUAGGUGCUCAGCCAGGAAGAUAGGGCAGAUUCACAUGGGGGAGAUUGGCUCGGUGAUGAGACCACUUCUGACUCCACCAGAACCAGGCCCAGCUCUUCCUGGAGGUCCUGACUCAACGGGGACUUUUGCAUGGGAGCCAAAGAACAGUGGAUGUCUCUUGUCCGCUGAUCAUCUCUUCCCUUCCCCCACCCCAUAUUCCAUCCCAUGCCAGAUCCCUAGGCUGUGCCUGUUAGAGCUACUGUAGCACCACAUGGACUUGCCUUUAAAGCAGAAUUUUUAGAAGUGCAGUUGCUUUUCUUUACUCUGCUGUGGGAUGCUGAACACCUUGUUCUUUCUCCAGCUCAGCAGGGCUUGGAGUUGGUUCCUAGCUAUCUCUGGGAAUGCUCGAUCCCCAUCUCUGUUACCAGCCAAAAGGGUCUGCGGGAGGUGGUCGGCACUCCAGUCAGCAGCCCUCUCAGUACCUCUUCCCCAGACAUAGUCAAAGCAAGUCAUUCAUCUGCAGCCAGUCUCCCCUGCCCAUUCACCAAGGAGAACCUGGGGAUAGGACCACUCAGAGCCUGGCCCAGGCUGGCUCACUAACUGUGUGUAAAUACACACAGCGGAAAGAGUAGGUGCUGAACACACAUGUGUGAGAGAGUGAAUUUUUACUCUCAAUCACCUUAUAUAUAUUAUCAAUAGUUUCAAAGUAUGUUGCCCAAAGGAUGUUAAUUCCUAAGAAGGCUUUUAUAUCGUUUGGAGUUUUGAGGAGUGUGUUGGCUGAAGAGAAGAGGGUCUGGCCCCAGUCUUGAUGGGAAUGCAUGGGGUAAACAGCUGGUGGCAGAGGUACAAAAGGGGCCUCUCUACUUUCUAAGAGAAUCUUCCAUCCUGGCUGAUUUUAGGACCUGGGGUGGGGUUCCCAUCAGGAGGAGGCCUAAGGAAGGAGUAGGACCCUUCCUAGAUGGCUGAGUCAACUUAUACGACAGGGCAGGGAAACCUAUCUUGGAAACCCGGGAGCCCUCCUUCCUCCUCCCCAUCCUCAGGCCUCACCUGAGACUUGAAAAUGGACCAGAGUCUUCCUCCAACAGUGAAAUUCGUUAAAGAGUCACUCCUGUCUAGAAUGUGCAGAAAUGCAAGCCUCUCUCUUUCUCUCUCUCUCUCUUUCUCCACCUUGAGGAUGCUGUAUCUAGAGCCCAUAUAGGGACAAGAAGGUAAGCAGUGAAAGCAGGAAAGAAGUAGAAGGCUGGCUGUCAUCCAGCUGUGCAUACAGUCCUAUCUCAGCUGAACUGUGCACGGUGAAUGAGGAAGUAAAUGACAGGUGAAGGACCAAGAGAGUGAAGCUAGUCAGUUUAUCUGAGGAGAUAGGUAUCAGUGAGUAACUGUAAGGAUCACACCCACAGUGGGUGUGCCCCGCAGAUGGAUAUAUGUGCAGCAAGCGGUACCUUGCGGGGGAAUGCAAGCUCCAACUGUGGUGCUGAGCCUCUGGCCCAUAAGUAACCCAGUGAGCCUGAGCAGGUCACUCCCUCUCUUUGAACCUUGUCUCCAUCUCUAAAACAGGACAGCUUUCUCCAUCUUAAACACCAAGUAGGAAUUCAUUGUGGAAACCUUCCAUCAAAAUUGGAGAUGCCUUGGAUGGACCCUGUGGUGGCUCAUGCCUGUAAUCCCAGCACUUUGGGAGGCUGCGGCAGGCAGAUCACUUGAGUCCAGGAGUUUGAGACCAGCCUGGGUGACAUGACAAAACCCUCUCUCCACAAAAAAUACAAAAAUUAGCUGGGCAUGGUGGCAUGCACCUGUAAUCUCAGCUACUUGGGAGGCUGAGGCAGGAGGAUCGCUUGAGCCUGGGAGGUUGAGGCUGUAGUGAGCCGAGAUAGUGCCACUGCACUCCAGUCUGGGCAACAGAGUGAGACCCUGUCUCAAAAAAACAAAAAAUAGAGAAAUAGAGAUGCCCCUUGAACCCAUGGGUUUUUGGGACUACAUUCUGGAAGCUUUCAGAGUCAGACCAGAGUUUGAAAGAGGCAUUGUGUCACUAGCCGUGUGCCCGUGGGCAAGUCACAGUAGAGUCUACUUCCCACGGCACUUGUGAGACUCAUCUGGGAUUAUGUGUGUCCAUGCCUUGGCAGAGAGCUUGGUGAAGAAUGUUAGUUGUCCAAUAAAUGGUACCCCAUUAAGUUGGUGUGCAGGGUGGCCACAGGGCCAGACCACCCUGAAAAUAAAGGCUUAUAUUUGGGCUGAGCCUGGAUGCACCUGAGAUUACAAGCAGGUGCUUAGAAUGUGGUGAAAAAGAAAGACAGGAGAGAAUGGCUGAAGGCAGCAUGCAGUCCACCUGACUUUCUGGGAAGAUUGGGCAUUUGCAGGGCUGAUAAGUCAGGUUCUUCCGGGCCUUUCUGUGAGCUCAUUAGAGGAAGGGGUCUGGUGACUGAUAUUUCUAUUUUCCCUGUUAGUAGCGACUGGAAUUUGCACCAUCCAGGUCAGAUGGAAAAUAGAAGGCGGGAAAAUCUGACAGUCUCAUUGAUUUGCUCUCUUUGCCAUCACCACUCUUGAGAGGAAGAAAUGUGACUUCAAACUUGCAAUUAGGAACCAGCCUGCUAAGGAGUCCUCUCGUGAGCUCCUGUGCUAUGCGGAGCACAGGCCCAUCUCAUCUCAUUUCCUAAGGAGAUGAAGAAGACGAGGCUUGAGAGACGAAGGAAUGAAUGAAGGGUCUCACAGCUGUUAGAAGGGUUAGAUCUUGUAUUUGGACUCAGGUCUGCCUGCCCUGGAACUUGACUCUCCCACACCUGGUGCUGGGCACACUAGGAGACGUCACAAGGCUCAGAGAUGCCACCCUUCCUAGAACGGGCGCCGUGCCUCUCUUCUCCACACACUGCAGGGGAGACAGGCACUGUGUUUUCAGAUAAGUUCCAUGUGCAUCAGGGGCUCGGUGGGAAAGGGAGGACACACUCAGAUUAGGAUUAUUCAUGGAGGAUUCUCCAAAGAGGCUAUUUGGAAAGACGGAGGGAAUGGUGAAGGAAAGCACAAGAGAAAAUGGACAGAACCGUUACUUCCUCACGCCUGAAGGGGAUGGGUUACUGGAAGCCAGGAGGAGAGUGUGAUAAGAGCCACUUUUAGAGGAGCUUUCACCUUCAGGAGAAAGUCAGGGCCCAAGAAGACCCACAGGGAGGUGACCAGGGAAUGGCAUACUUGGACUACCCUCUCUUCUGUUCCUCCACUCUCCUGCCAGGGCUCCACAUUGGAUAAACCCCUGCAGGGGCGAGUGAAACUGCCACCCAGGUUUGCCUCCCAGGGCACAGCCCAUGGAGAGCUCUAAGGCAAGUGGCAGAAAACUAGCACAGGUGCAGUGCGUCUUGCAAAGCACCCAGCCUAUGCCGGCCCUGGGCUAGAAAUGGGAAGAGAGGAGACCAUGGCACUGCCCUCAAAGAUCUUAGAGUCUGUGGAGGAGUCAGGCAGAGAGAGGGGGUGUUCCCUUGGCAAAGGACUCCAUGAGCAGAUGCAGGCCAUGGGCGACGCUCCUGCAGAAGCUUUGGGGUUUGCCGCAUGUGCCUGGAAGGAGCGCGCCCACCUUGACAUGCCUCGCCUCCUGUUGCCAUUGACAACGUGAAGGCAAACUCCUGGGGCUGGGCCUUUUUCCUUGAGAUAAAAUAUGUAUAAUUCUCUGUUAUCAAAUGAUUAUUAAACAAAAUCUAAUUGAAAAAAUAGAAAGAAGAAAAGAUAAGUCAUUUAUCAUCCUGUUCUCCAAAGACAACUGUGAACAGCUUGGUGGAACUCCUUCCAGUGGCUUUCCUUGGAGCUUUGCCUCUGUGGAUGUGGAAAACCUUAAGACCUUUGUUGGACCAACUGGGGAAGAAUUUCUUUCCUGCUCAGGCUGCUCAGCUGAUAGAGUGCUGGCCUGGAGCAGCUGAAAGACACUUUGCUGCUUUCUGGAGAAUGAAGCCACUGGGAAACCACAUAGGAGGGAAGAGAGAGACAGCUUCUCGAUGAUGUCAUCUGAACACCUGGAUCCUGCUGUGCCUGGACUUGCAGUCCCAUUGUCUACCAAUAUAGUUCAUUGAAUUCAACUUCAGCUGGAUGUCAUUCAUCUGCUUCCAGAACUUGUGUCUAAUGCAGAGCUGAAUGCAUACUCUCAGAGUUGGAAGUGGAUGCAAUCCACAAAUCUAGCACCCAAAUUUCUUUUUUCUGUUCUUUUUUUUUUUUAAUUUGAGAUGGAGUCUUGCUCUGUCACCCAGGCUGAAGUGUAGUGGCGCAAUCUCAGCUCACUGCAACCUCUGCCUCCCAGAUUCAAGCGAUCCUUCUGCCUCAGCCUCCCGAGUAGCUGGAAUUACAGGCGUGUGCCACCACGGCUGGCCUAAUUUUGGUAUUUUUAGUAGAGAUGGGGUUUCACCAUGUUGGCCAGGCUGAUAUCGAACUCCUGGCCUCAAGUGAUCUACCCCCCUUGGCCUCCCAAAGUGCUGGGAUUACAGGUGUGAACCACCAUGCCCGGCCUCAAAUUGCUUUUACAGAGGCAAGUGGCCACCGAGUCUGUGAUUGGGAUCCUCCUGUGGAGACCUGUGGAGACUCGUGGCUCACUACCUUUGAAGGCAGUGUUAGGGUAAUCUCUCCACAUUUCCCUGCUGAAAGCUCUGAGUGUUAGUAAAUUCCUUCUCAUAUUAGCUAAAAUGUAUUUUCCUGUGCCUUUUAUUCACUGAUGGGGAAUACAAGCAUUCUUUUUGAGGGUGGCCAAUGCUAGUAAUUCCCUCCAUACAGUCAGUGAUGGAUAGAGUUAACCCAUGGUUGCUGCAUGUAGUACUGUCACUUGCUGUACCACCAGGACUCAAGUUGAUGCUCAACGCAACAUUCUUUUGCAGGGCCCUUGUCCUCAGUUUCCCUUCUUUUGGGGUGGGCUGAGAGAGACAGCUUAUUCAGCAUGAAGCUGUAGUAUCUACAGUUUAGCAAAUGUCUGCGGAGCCUUUAAAGCAGUUUUUAUCAUAAUAAAAAUAUUUUAACUUAUAACCCCAGAAAGAGAUAGGCAUGGGAGUCUUUAUACAGCACAGAAAUCCAGAUGAGCAUAAUUUGAAAGUCAUUUGAAUUGUAAUGAGUAUUUUUAAUGUAAACAGGCAGGAGGAAAAACUUGCUGGGUUCUCUUGUAGCACAGACACCCAGAUAUAUGUCUUUUGAUAGUGAUAUUAAAGUGUCAAGGGUGCAUAGGAGGCUGCAGAUGUCAGCGGCAUGAAUGGGCAAGGCAAUUUCUGUGGUUGCAGGCUGGAGGUUCCAGCAGGAAUAGAAAGGCAAUCUCUGUGCUAGAUGGCCCAGGGUCACUGCAAGUCUAGCUCCUAAAUGAAAAUCAGGGACAAGAUGUGGCCUGUAACCACAGUCACUGCUCUUCGUAAGGCUGGUGGAAAGGUGAACUGGAAAGGUUUUUAGGGUUAGGGAGAUACAGGAACUCCCAAACAUCAGGCACCUGAUAGCACUCUCCACCUAACAUCUGCAUUUAUAUUGACCUAAUGCAUCUGUUCAAUUUGUCUCAUUCUUUGUGCUCACACACAUUUAUUUGAAACAAAACUUUCCAUCAUUACUAUAGGUGAAAAUCCUUGAUCACUUGCCUUGAAUACAAGAAACCAUUAUUAAAUGCAAGCUAGAUAAUUUUGCUUGUCUUACAGCCAUGAGCCUUAAGUCUGUUCCCCCCACCCCCCCCCCCCCCCGCCUUUUUUUUUUGUUAAAAAGAUGAGCAAAAUGUGAGAAUGAUGCAAAAGAGAUCCUGGUACCAAAAGAAGCCUUCUAACUGGAUAUCAUCAGAGGGACAGAAAGAAUUAAAGUAUGGACAAAUUUCUCAAA